rnacentral:rRNA from 1 species
AUUGAACGCUGGCGGCAAGCCUAACACAUGCAAGUAGAACGAGUGGCGGACGGGUGAGUAAUGUCUGGGAAACUGCCUGAUGGAGGGGGAUAACGACUGGAAACGGUAGCUAAUACCGCAUACCAUCGGAUGUGCCCAGAUGGGAUUAGCUAGUAGGUGGGGUAACUGCUCACCUAGGCGACGAUCCCUAGCUGGUCUGAGAGGAUGACCAGACACACUGGAACGGAGACACGUUCCAGGCUCCGACGGGAGGCAGCAUUGGGGAAUAGUGCACAAUGGGCGCAGGCCUGAUGCAGCCAUGCCGCGUGUAUUAAGAAGGCCUUCGGGUUGUAAAGUACUUUCAGCGGGGAGGCGUUACCCGCAGAAGAAGCACCGGCUAACUCCGUGCCAGCAGGCGCGGUAAUUC